rnacentral:lncRNA from 1 species
UUCUCUUGGCUCUAUAGUGUCCACUUUGAGACAUGGCUUGAAUAAUCUUUGGGAAGGGGCCAGGCUGGGAGCUUGAUCUCACUUAAAUGAUUGUAUGAAAUGGCCAUUUGCAAAAGAAUAUAGUGCAAGAUGGAAGAAUGAAGUGACCACCUCUAGAUUCUAUUCUAACGGACGUGUGGCAUUUUCCCAGGCUAUUCGGGGAUAGGCAAGAAAGGGAAUCUAGAAUACCGAAGAGAGAACUCUGCAGAGCUGUGAGGACCAGAAGGAAGCCACAUUGUUUAUCCUGAAAGAAAAAGAAACAAGUGUGAAGAUUUCGAGAGCUGGAGGUGAAACAAGUAUCACUCAGCCUACAGAGAAUGCAAACCUCAUGAAUGUAUAUGUCUUGUUCAGCAGCACCUACACUUGUUUUUGACAAGUGAUACUAAAU